GCUGCUAAUACCGCAUGAUACCUGAGGGUCAAAGGACGCAAGUCGCCUUAGGAGGAGCCUGCGUCUGAUUAGCUUGUUGUGGGGUAAAGGCCUACCAAGGCGACGAUCAGUAGCUGGUCUGAGAGGAUGAUCAGCCACAUUGGGACUGAGACACGGCCCAAACUCCUACGGGAGGCAGCAGUGGGGAAUAUUGGACAAUGGGCGAAAGCCUGAUCCAGCAAUGCCGCGUGUGUGAAGAAGGUCUUCGAUUGUAAAGCACUUUUGGCAGGGACGAUGAUGACGGUACCUGCAGAAUAAGCCCCGGCUAACUUCGUG
rnacentral:rRNA from 1 species